rnacentral:rRNA from 1 species
UACGGAGGGUGCAAGCGUUAUCCGGAUUCACUGGGUUUAAAGGGUGCGUAGGUGGAGUGGUAAGUCAGUGGUGAAAUCUCCAAGCUUAACUUGGAACUGCCGUUGAUACUAUCAUUCUUGAAUAUCGUGGAGGUAAGCGGAAUAUGUCAUGUAGCGGUGAAAUGCUUAGAUAUGACAUAGAACACCAAUUGCGAAGGCAGCUUACUACGGAUUGAUUGACACUGAGGCACGAAAGCGUGGGGAUCAAACAGG